UACGGAGGGGGCAAGCGUUGUUCGGAUUUACUGGGCGUAAAGGGUGUGUAGGCGGUUGCGUCAGUCUGGUGUGAAAUCUUCACCGCUCAACGGGAAGGAGCCACUGGAAACUGCGCAACUCGAGUAUGGUAGAGGCUAGCGGAAUUCCUGGUGUAGCGGUGGAAUGUGUAGAUAUCAGGAAGAACAUCUGUGGCGAAGGCGGCUAGCUGGGCCAUCACUGACGCUGAGACACGAAAGCGUGGGGAGCGAACGGG
rnacentral:rRNA from 1 species